CCUACGGGUGGCAGCAGUGAGGAAUAUUGGUCAAUGGGAGAGAUCCUGAACCAGCCAAGCCGCGUGAGGGAAGACGGCCCUAUGGGUUGUAAACCUCUUUUGUCGGAGAACAAAACCCGGGACGAGUCCCGGACUGCGUGUAUCCGAAGAAAAAGCAUCGGCUAACUCCGUGCCAGCAGCCGCGGUAAUACGGAGGAUGCGAGCGUUAUCCGGAUUUAUUGGGUUUAAAGGGUGCGUAGGCGGUCUGUUAAGUCAGCGGUAAAAUUGCGGGGCUCAACCCCGUCGAGCCGUUGAAACUGGCAGACUUGAGUUGGCGAGAAGUACGCGGAAUGCGCGGUGUAGCGGUGAAAUGCAUAGAUAUCGGGAAGAACACCAAUGGCGAAGGCAGGUCUCUGGGCCGUUACUGACGCUGAGGAGCGAAAGCGUGGGGAGCGAACAGGAUUAGAUACCCGGGUAGUC
rnacentral:rRNA from 1 species